rnacentral:rRNA from 1 species
UUCUUGGUCAUUUAGAGGAAGUAAAAGUCGUAACAAGGUUUCCGUAGGUGAACCUGCGGAAGGAUCAUUAAAGAAAUUUAAUAAUUUUGAAAAUGGAUCUUUUUGUUUUGGCAAGAGCAUGAGAGCUUUUACUGGGCAAGAAGACAAGAGAUGGAGAGUCCAGCCGGGCCUGCGCUUAAGUGCGCGGUCUUGCUAGGCUUGUAAGUUUCUUUCUUGCUAUUCCAAACGGUGAGAGAUUUCUGUGCUUUUGUUAUAGGACAAUUAAAACCGUUUCAAUACAACACACUGUGGAGUUUUCAUAUCUUUGCAACUUUUUCUUUGGGCAUUCGAGCAAUCGGGGCCCAGAGGUAACAAACACAAACAAUUUUAUCUAUUCAUUAAAUUUUUGUCAAAAACAAGAAUUUUCGUAACUGGAAAUUUUAAAAUAUUAAAAACUUUCAACAACGGAUCUCUUGGUUCUAGCAUCGAUGAAGAACGCAGCGAAAUGCGAUACGUAAUGUGAAUAGUAGAAUUCCGUGAAUCAUCGAAUCUUUGAACGCACAUUGCGCCCCUUGGUAUUCCAGGGGGCAUGCCUGUUUGAGCGUCAUUUCCUUCUCAAACAUUCUGUUUGGUAGUGAGUGAUACUCUUUGGAGUUAACUUGAAAUUGCUGGCCUUUUCAUUGGAUGUUUUUUUUCCAAAGAGAGGUUUCUCUGCGUGCUUGAGGUAUAAUGCAAGUACGGUCGUUUUAGGUUUUACCAACUGCGGCUAAUCUUUUUUUAUACUGAGCGUAUUGGGACGUUAUCGAUAAGAAGAGAGCGUCUAGGCGAACAAUGUUCUUAAAGUUUGACCUCAAAUCAGGUAGGAGUACCCGUUGAACUUAAGCAUAUCAAUAAGCGGAGGAA